rnacentral:misc_RNA from 1 species
AAGACUAUAGACCUGCGGAGUACCUGCGGAAGGAUCAUUACAGAGUUACUACUCCAAACCCAUUGUGAACCUUACCUAUGUUCUGUUGCCUCGGCGGCGUGGUCAGCGCCCCUCUGAAAAGAGGACGAUGCCCUCCCGCCGGCAGCACCAAACUCUUUGAAUUUUACAGCGGAUUACAGUUCUGAUUUGAAAACAAAAAACAAGUUAAAACUUUCAACAACGGAUCUCUAGAUCGGAAGA